rnacentral:lncRNA from 1 species
AAUCAAGAUGGAAGAUGAAAAAUUGAGAUGGAAGAUGGAGGGUUGAAAUGAGGAACAUGGGAUUAAGAUGGGAGACAAUGAAUCAAAACAAGGAACAAGAACAUAGAUAUGGAACAUAAUUAAGAAGGUUGAAACAUAAGACAUGUGAUGAGAAUAGGGUUGGAAACAUGAGGAAUGAGGAUGUAAGAUAAGAAGGUGCAAUGAUGGUCUAGAGAGGUGGAUCAAUUUAGUGAAAACUUAAAUCUAUUUAACACUCUUCUUUAAAUACUAAGAGAUUAUUUAUUAUUAUAGAAAUCACACUAAAAAAAAUGAUGACAUUGUUUAUGAUACAAUAGACAUUAAAUCCGUAGAAAAGACAAAUGAAGAUUUUUUAAUUUUUAAUUUUCUUUUGUAUUAACAAUGAUAGAAAGUUAAAUAACUGUUAGUGUUCAAAACUCCAUUGAAAAAAGUUAUAUUCUUAAAAUAUGCUAAGAAUUUAUAUAU